UACGAAGGGGGCUAGCGUUGCUCGGAAUCACUGGGCGUAAAGGGUGCGUAGGCGGGUCUUUUAAGUCAGGGGUGAAAUCCUGGAGCUCAACUCCAGAACUGCCUUUGAUACUGAAGAUCUUGAGUUCGGGAGAGGUGAGUGGAACUGCGAGUGUAGAGGUGAAAUUCGUAGAUAUUCGCAAGAACACCAGUGGCGAAGGCGGCUCACUGGCCGUUACUGACGCUGAGGAGCGAAAGCGUGGGGAGCGAACAGG
rnacentral:rRNA from 1 species